GCCAGCUGAUAAACCGUCAGUCAAAUUGGGC
rnacentral:piRNA from 1 species